UACGAAGGGGGCUAGCGUUGCUCGGAAUCACUGGGCGUAAAGGGUGCGUAGGCGGGUCUUUAAGUCAGGGGUGAAAUCCUGGAGCUCAACUCCAGAACUGCCUUUGAUACUGAAGAUCUUGAGUUCGGGAGAGGUGAGUGGAACUGCGAGUGUAGAGGUGAAAUUCGUAGAUAUUCGCAAGAACACCGGUAGCGAAGGCGGCCCACUGGCUCGACACUGACGCUGAGGUGCGAAAGCGUGGGGAGCAAACAGG
rnacentral:rRNA from 1 species